UACGUAGGGUCCGAGCGUUGUCCGGAAUUAUUGGGCGUAAAGGGCUCGUAGGCGGUUUGUCACGUCGGGAGUGAAAACUCAGGGCUCAACCCUGAGCGUGCUUUCGAUACGGGCAGACUAGAGGUAUGCAGGGGAGAACGGAAUUCCUGGUGUAGCGGUGGAAUGCGCAGAUAUCAGGAGGAACACCGGUGGCGAAGGCGGUUCUCUGGGCAUUACCUGACGCUGAGGAGCGAAAGCAUGGGGAGCGAACAGA
rnacentral:rRNA from 1 species